rnacentral:rRNA from 1 species
GAUGAACGCUGGCUACAGGCUUAACACAUGCAAGUCGAGGGGUAACGAGAGGGAAGCUUGCUUUCCUUGUUGACGACCGGCGCACGGGUGAGUAACGCGUAUCCAACCUGCCCCCAACUAGGGAAUAACCUUGCGAAAGUAAGACUAAUACCCUAUAAUUUCCUCAGAUGUCAUCUGACGAGGAAUAAAGAUUUAUCGGUUGUGGAUGGGGAUGCGUCUGAUUAGCUUGUUGGCGGGGUAACGGCCCACCAAGGCAACGAUCAGUAGGGGUUCUGAGAGGAAGGUCCCCCACAUUGGAACUGAGACACGGUCCAAACUCCUACGGGAGGCAGCAGUGAGGAAUAUUGGUCAAUGGGCGGAAGCCUGAACCAGCCAAGUAGCGUGCAGGAUGACGGCCCUAUGGGUUGUAAACUGCUUUUAUACAGGAAUAAAGUUAGCCACGUGUGGUUAUUUGUAGGUACUGUAUGAAUAAGGACCGGCUAAUUCCGUGCCAGCCGCCGCGGUAA